GGGUGGUUAGUUUAAGCUAAAACCUGUGAUUUCGACUCGCAAAACGGUGGCUAAAUUCCACCACCGCUCU
rnacentral:tRNA from 1 species